rnacentral:rRNA from 1 species
CAGUAGCCGCGGGAAUACCAGCACCUCGAGUGGUCAGGAGGUUUAUUGGGCCUAAAGCAUCCGUAGCCGGUUGCAUAAGUUUUCGGUUAAAUCUAUGCGCUUAACGUAUAGGCCGCCGAAAAUACUGUGCAGCUAGGGAGUGGGAGAGGUACACGGUACUCGAUAGGAAGGGGUAAAAUCCUUUGAUCUAUUGAUGACCACCUGUGGCGAAGGCGGUGUACCAGAACACGUUCGACGGUGAGGGAUGAAAGCUGGGGGAGCAAACCGGAUUAGAUACCCGCGUAGUCCCUGUCUCUUAUAC